AUGGAUUUUCAGGUGCAGAUUUUCAGCUUCCUGCUAAUCAGUGUCACAGUCAUAUUGACCAAUGGAGAAAUUUUGCUCACCCAGUCUCCAGCAAUCAUAGCUGCAUCUCCUGGGGAGAAGGUCACCAUCACCUGCAGUGCCAGCUCAAGUGUAAGUUACAUGAACUGGUACCAGCAGAAACCAGGAUCCUCCCCCAAAAUAUGGAUUUAUGGUAUAUCCAACCUGGCUUCUGGAGUUCCUGCUCGCUUCAGUGGCAGUGGGUCUGGGACAUCUUUCUCUUUCACAAUCAACAGCAUGGAGGCUGAAGAUGUUGCCACUUAUUACUGUCAGCAAAGGAGUAGUUACCCACCC